rnacentral:rRNA from 1 species
UGGAGGGCAAGUCUGGUGCCAGCAGCCGCGGUAAUUCCAGCUCCAAUAGCGUAUAUUAAAGUUGUUGUGGUUAAAAAGCUCGUAGUUGAACCUUGGGCCUGGCUGGCCGGUCCGCCUCACCGCGUGUACUGGUCCGGCCGGGCCUUUCCCUCUGUGGAACCCCAUGCCCUUCACUGGGCGUGGCGGGGAAGCAGGACUUUUACUUUGAAAAAAUUAGAGUGCUCCAGGCAGGCCUAUGCUCGAAUAUAUUAGCAUGGAAUAAUAGAAUAGGACGUGCGGUUCUAUUUUGUUGGUUUCUAGGACCGCCGUAAUGAUUAAUAGGGACAGUCGGGGGCAUCAGUAUUCAAUUGUCAGAGGUGAAAUUCUUGGAUUUAUUGAAGACUAACUACUGCGAAAGCAUUUGCCAAGGAUGUUUUCAUUAAUCAGGAACGAAAGUUAGGGGAUCGAAGACGAUCAGAUACCGUCGUAGUCUUAACCAUAAACUAUGCCGACUAGGGAUCGGACGACGUUAUUACUUGACUCGUUCGGCACCUUACGGGAAAC